UAGGGAAUCUUCGGCAAUGGGGGGAACCCUGACCGAGCAACGCCGCGUGAGUGAAGAAGGUUUUCGGAUCGUAAAGCUCUGUUGUUAAGGAAGAACGAGUGUGAGAAUGGAAAGUUCAUACUGUGACGGUACUUAACCAGAAAGGGACGGCUAACUACGUUCCAGCAGCCGCGGUAAUACGUAGGUCCCGAGCGUUGUCCGGAUUUAUUGGGCGUAAAGCGAGCGCAGGCGGUUAGAUAAGUCUGAAGUUAAAGGCAGUGGCUCAACCAUUGUAGGCUUUGGAAACUGUUUAACUUGAGUGCAGAAGGGGAGAGUGGAAUUCCAUGUGUAGCGGUGAAAUGCGUAGAUAUAUGGAGGCACACCGGUGGCGAAAGCGGCUCUCUGGUCUGUAACUGGCGCUGAGGCUCGAAAGCGUGGGGAGCGAACAGG
rnacentral:rRNA from 1 species